rnacentral:rRNA from 1 species
AACGAACGCUGGCGGCGUGCCUAACACAUGCAAGUCGAACGGAGAAUCAGCAAUGAUUCUUAGUGGCGAACGGGUGAGUAACGCGUAGACAACCUGCCUUCUAGAUGGGGACAACGCUGCGAAAGUGGUGCUAAUACCGAAUGUUGUAUUAAGCCUGCAUGAGCUUGAUACUAAAGGUGGCCUCUAUUUAUAAGCUAUCACUAGAAGAUGGGUCUGCGUCUGAUUAGCUAGUUGGUGAGGUAAUGGCUCACCAAGGCGAUGAUCAGUAGCCGGUCUGAGAGGAUGAACGGCCACGCUGGGACUGAGACACGGCCCAGACUCCUACGGGAGGCAGCAGUGGGGAACCUUCCGCAAUGGACGAAAGUCUGACGGAGCAACGCCGCGUGAGUGAAGAAGGUUUUCGGGUCGUAAAGCUCUGUCUUUGAGGACGAAUGUGUCUAAUGUGAAUAAUGUUAGAUAAUGACGGUACUCGAGGAGGAAGCCACGGCUAACUACGUGCCAGCCGCCGCCGUAA